UGAUGAUACACAACUGGCUGUGCGCAACUGCAUGGACUAAGAUGUACCAUAUUUAAUGUGUAUAUGUUACAGUACAAAUACUACUUUCACUAGUUGCCAUAAAAUGCAACGAAGAGAUUUUUGUUAAUGCUGUUCUACAUUUUGUUAUACUU